GACUAUUCGCGAUACGAGAGAGCACGGCACGCGCCGACACUUACAACGUAAUUUCUUAUUCCCGUGGUAGCCGCCUCUCCGUGGCACGCGACCCCCACCGGAUAGCCAUCGAUCUCUCCCCCAAGAACACGUAACUCCAUCGCCUGUCGAUCGCCGUCUCCCUCAAUUUCGAUUGAGGACGCACCUGUCUCCCGUUUCGCUCUCUCUACCUGUCCAGAGAGGAGCAAAUGUUGAUAAUACCAUUCGAUCGAGGGAGAGGAGGGGGCAGAUUCCUGGACGAAUACCGGGCGACUGGAAUACAAAGGAGGGAGAUUCCGCGGCACGCGGAAGCUCGCUAUUAGGUUCUUCUCUUUGGUGGAGUUUCUCUGAAGGAACGAAAGGAUGAGCGACCCGCAACGGGGAAAGGCUCGAAUCGAUCGUUUGCUCUCUCGAUCCCGAUUGUUGGAACGGAUCAAAUUUACCAGGAGGGAUACAAAUGUUCGAAAUCACGAUUUCGAGGGCGAAAAACGAAGGUUGACGUGUAGAAGUCUGCGUGGCGGCGAAAAUCUAGUUUCAGGCCGUGACAAAUAAAUCAGACCUGUUGCGACAUGAUCCUAUUAACGCUAAGUACCGUGAUUUAUCGCGCUAUUUGUAUCGAACAGGCGGAAAGGACGUAGAAAUGUUUUGUUUGCGGCCUCCAUGGGCGAUCCAUUAAACUAUUAACCCGGCUAUCCGCCCAUUUCCCUCGCUCGAGAAUCCUCUACUCGCGAUAUUUUUCAACGUUUUCAGCCUAAGCGGUGCAUCGUUAAACCCAUCGUUCAAAAUUACCCCAACGAUCGAAAAUUGGCUCGAGUUUUUAAACCGGAUUCGGGCGAAAAUUGAAAACGAGAGAGAAAGAGGGAGAGAGCAACGCUCUCCUUUAAGCGUUAAAGUUAAACUCUUGCUUGGAAACAUCGCGAAUUUAUUAUCAACAGUG